rnacentral:lncRNA from 1 species
UCCAUAUGAUGUUGUUUAAUGGUGGUGGUUAGUGUUUGACUGCCAUAUGAUGCCUUCAAAAGAAGCAAGAAGUAAUGCUAGAAAAGAUCAGCAAGUCAUUUUAUUUUGUCUUUUUUGUUAAAAGUUAGGAUAUCCAUUAAUGUUUUUCUUCACUAUCUUUUCCUAAAACCCCUGUUGAGUUGCCUUCCAGCAACCAAGUUUCAUUCGAUAGCCAGCUAAGACAUAACUAAUUAUAGAGUUAGCUAAUUGAAUAGGAUUAUAUUUAAACCCAAUGUAGAGGUUAUAAGGGAUUGAAACAUGGAAUGUCAUUAAAAAUUUCAAUUCUCAAAAACUCUUCGUUCUUUUUGCUAGUUUCAACAACAACAACAAGCAUAGUGUAAUCCCACAAGAUGGUUCUGGGGAAGGUCGAAGAUAAGAAGUUUUGUUUCGGAAAGACACUCGGCUGAGCAAUAAGUGAAAAAGAGGCAAUAGCAACAAACAGAAACAACAGCAAGGCAAAACAACUAACUGGUACAUGUAUUAAUCUAAUAGUCUCCAUUUCAUUAGACCGAAACUCAAUAUUAUAAUCUCCCUAAGUUUGUACAGAGUUAUAAACCGUAUUGAUGUGCCAAGUCAUGUGAAUAAGUUAUGGAUACAACACAUUAGAAAAUAUGCCGAGGAGUGGCGGAGUCACAUGUGCUUGAGGGGUAUCGACCGACACCCCUUUUUUCGAAAAAUUACAUUGCGCAGCUAGGCAAAAAUGUUACAUGUAUAUACUACAUAUUGACACCCCUCGAUUAGGGAUUAAGCCAAUUCGACCGAGGGGGAAGCUUAACACGAUUUCAAUAAUAGAAGCAUUACCUACGACUAAUGUAUAUAGAUCAAGGACUGUGCUUCUUCGUGAAUUUACUUCUUUAUACCAUGCCUUGGUUAAAGUUCUAGCUCCGCCGAUUAGGAGCCAACCACAUAAGAAAAUUCAUGUUAUAUUACCUAUUUGACGGAAAGCAAUCUAUAUAAAAGAUGAACUUGAUAGAGCAAAAGGCAUCUAUAGAGCGAAAGGUGAAAAACACAUCUAAAGUAUUCCAAUUUUUGAAUUUCAUGCCUAAACUAUCACCAAUAAGUUAGUAAAACACGCAUCAACUAUUAGCCAUGUAACUGAAAAUAUCAGGAUAGCAAAGGUGUGUUUUGGACCAUUAACACAAAUCUAUCUAUAUAAUAAAAGAUAUGAACUUGAUGGAGGAAAAGCAAUCUAUGUUCAAAUAUGCAAACAGUUUUAGUAGGCACAUAGAUGAUAAAAGCAAGUAAGUACCUCGCUCUCCUCAGCAAUCGAAUCGUCGUCGUCGAUGUCGCUUCCAUCCGUCAGAGGUAAUUGAUCCGAAGUUUUGAAAUUGCUCGACUCUUCUUUUUCUUCUGCAUCUUCCUCCUCAUUCACCUUUUGCUUCUUCACCGAUGGCUCAUAAUCUGAUUGGCUUGAGUAUUCUGAUUCGCUUUCCUUUUCACCUUUCUGAUGGCAGCGGUGGCUUUUCACCUUCUGAUGGUGGUGGUAAUGGCGGCGGCGGCUGUGACAACAAAUUGACAAAACCCUAGCAUCACAAAUUUGGGUAUGUACUAUUGCCCCAAUAGAGCCUUUAAAUAGAGGUGGACCCGAA